GUGGUGGCUCAGUGGUAGAGCACUUGCCUAGCAUGUAUGAGGCACUGGGUUCGAUUCUCAGCACCACA
rnacentral:tRNA from 1 species